rnacentral:rRNA from 1 species
CAGCAGCCACGGUAAUACAGAGGGUGCAAGCGUUAAUCGGAAUUACUGGGCGUAAAGCGCGAGUAGGUGGUUUGUUAAGUUGGAUGUGAAAUCCCCGGGCUCAACCUGGGAACUGCAUCCAAAACUGGCAAGCUAGAGUAUGGUAGAGGGUGGUGGAAUUUCCUGUGUAGCGGUGAAAUGCGUAGAUAUAGGAAGGAACACCAGUGGCGAAGGCGACCACCUGGACUGAUACUGACACUGAGGUGCGAAAGCGUGGGGAGCAAACAGGAUUAGAUACCCCUGUAGUCCCUGUCUCUUAUAC